rnacentral:ncRNA from 1 species
GCACAGGUGCUGCAUGGCUGUCGUCAGCUCGUGCUGUGAAGUGUCGGGUUAAGUCCCUUAACGAGCGAAACCCUUGCCCUUAGUUGCCAGCGGGUCAUGCCGGGGACUCUAAGGGGACUGCCACGGUGAACGUGGAGGAAGGUGGGGAUGACGUCAAGUCCUCAUGGCCUUUAUGCCCAGGGCUGCACACGUGCUACAAUGGCGGGCACAGAGGGAUGCGAAGUCGCGAGGCGGAGCCAAACCCUAAAAACCCGCCCCAGUUCGGAUUGCAGGCUGCAACUCGCCUGCAUGAAGGUGGAAUCGCUAGUAAUCGCGGAUCAGCGAUGCCGCGGUGAAUGUGUUCCUGAGCCUUGUACACACCGCCCGUCAAGCCACCGAAGCCGGGAGUACCCGAAGUCGCUGACCCAACCCGAAAGGGAGGGAGGCGCCGACGGUAAGCUCGGUGACGGGGACUAAGUCGUAACAAGGUAGCCGUAGGGGAACCUGCGGCUGGAUCACCUCCUUU